CUACGGGUUGCACCAGUGGGGAAUAUUGGACAAUGGGCGGAAGCCUGAUCCAGCCAUGCCGCGUGUGUGAAGAAGGCCUUUUGGUUGUAAAGCACUUUAAGCGAGGAGGAGGCUCCUUUAGUUAAUACAUAAAGAGAGUGGACGUUACUCGCAGAAUAAGCACCGGCUAACUCUGUGCCAGCAGCCGCGGUAAUACAGAGGGUGCGAGCGUUAAUCGGAUUUACUGGGCGUAAAGCGUGCGUAGGCGGCUUUUUAAGUCGGAUGUGAAAUCCCUGAGCUUAACUUAGGAAUUGCAUUCGAUACUGGAAAGCUAGAGUAUGGGAGAGGAUGGUAGAAUUCCAGGUGUAGCGGUGAAAUGCGUAGAGAUCUGGAGGAAUACCGAUGGCGAAGGCAGCCAUCUGGCCUAAUACUGACGCUGAGGUACGAAAGCAUGGGGAGCAAACAGGAUUAGAUACCCCGGUAGUC
rnacentral:rRNA from 1 species